UACUAGAAUACAUCGGUAUCGAAGGAACUAGAUUCUGUUCCGAAAUAUCAUUUACUCGAACCGUCCUGACCGCGUAGCUCAGUUGGAAGAGCAUUGGGCUAGUAUUCCAAAGGUCGUAGGUUCGAAUCCCACCGUGGCCGGGCAUAUUUUUCAGGCUCGCCCGGUGUGGAUAUGCACUCAGAGUAACACCACAAAUAUCAUAUUCACCUGAGAACACUACACCAACACAGAAA